ACGAACGCUGGCGGCGUGCCUAACACAUGCAAGUCGAGCGGAGGGGAUAGGAGCUUGCUUCUUGAACCUCAGCGGCGGACGGGUGAGUAACACGUGGGUAACCUGCCCUUGAGAGGGGGAUAACAGGUCGAAAGGCCUGCUAAUACCGCAUAACGCUAAGAAGCUGCAUGGCGUCUUAGCCAAAGGUUAAUUCCGCUCAAGGAUGGGCCCGCGGCCCAUUAGCUAGUUGGUGAGGUAAUGGCUCACCAAGGCGACGAUGGGUAGCCGGCCUGAGAGGGUGGUCGGCCACACUGGGACUGAGACACGGCCCAGACUCCUACGGGAGGCAGCAGUGGGGAAUAUUGCGCAAUGGGGGAAACCCUGACGCAGCGACGCCGCGUGAGCGAUGAAGGCCUUCGGGUUGUAAAGCUCUGUCUUCCCUGACGAUAAUGACGGUAAGGGAGGAGGAAGCCACGGCUAACUACGUGCCAGCAGCCGCGGUAAUACGUAGGUGGCGAGCGUUGUCCGGAAUUACUGGGCGUAAAGGGUGCGUAGGCGGCUCUUUAAGUGGGAUGUGAAAUCCCUGGGCUCAACCCAGGAACUGCAUUCCAAACUGGAGAGCUAGAGUGCAGGAGAGGAGAGCGGAAUUCCCAGUGUAGCGGUGAAAUGCGUAGAGAUUGGGAGGAACACCAGUGGCGAAGGCGGCUUUCUGGACUGUAACUGACGCUGAGGCACGAAAGCGUGGGGAGCAAACAGGAUUAGAUACCCUGGUAGUCCACGCUGUAAACGUUGGGUACUAGGUGUAGGGGGCGAAGCCCUCUGUGCCGCAGCUAA
rnacentral:rRNA from 1 species